GUGAGUGAGGAAGGCCUUCGGGUUGUAAAGCUCCUUCAGCUGGAACGUAACGGUGCGCGUUAAUACCGUGCAUCAGUGACGGUACAUCAAGAAGUAGCACCGGUAAAGUACGUGCCAGCAGCCGCGGUAAUACGUAGGGUGCGAGCGUUGAUGGGAAUUACUGGGGGUAAAGCGUGAGCGGGCGGUUAUUUAAGACAGAUGUGAAAUCCCCGGGCUCAACCUGGGAACCGCGUUUGUGACCGGAUAGUUGGAGUAUGGCAGAGGGGGGUGGAAUUCCACGUGUAGCAUUGAAAUGCGUAGAGAUGUGGAAGAACACCGAUCGUGAAGGCAGCCCCGUGGGCCAAUAAUGACGCUCAUGCAUGAAAGGGUAGGGAGCAAACAGGAUUAGAUGACCUUGGUAGUCCACACCUUAAUAAGAUGCGAAGCUAGGUGUUGGUAAUAGAGAUCUCAAUAGUACGGCAGGUAGCACAUGAAGAUAGUCAGACCGGAGGUGGACGGGG
rnacentral:rRNA from 1 species